CUUUGAAUGAAGUCUGUGAAAUAUGAGGAAUGUCCAUUUCCCUAUCUGCUACCAAAAAUCUGCUUUGGGGCUUUUUGAGGCUUAUUACAAUGUGCAAAGGAGUAUAGUCAUGGCCUGUGUGGAUUAUUUGGAAAUUAGAUCAGACCUCUUACAAUACAGACACUGACUUCAGUGUCACCUAUAUGCCUAUUAAAAGACCCUUCAGAUCCUGUAAGUCACAUCUUCCUGCCCACAGCAUAGACUCAUACCUCUUCAUACUGAUUCAUGGAAUCAGAAAUAUUUAAUUUAUACCUACAAGAUGCCAAAUACUACUCUAGGUCCUCAAUAAUAUCUUGCUACAACUCAGCACUUAGUGAGUAUGUGGUCCAGAAGAGGAGACAAGGGGUAUAAAUUAGCAGAUGAGUGUAUGUUAAUAUACUCGUGAGUUCUCUUAAGG
rnacentral:lncRNA from 1 species